GAUGAACGCUGGCGGCGUGCCUAAUACAUGCAAGUCGAGCGAACAGACGAGGAGCUUGCUCCUUUGACGUUAGCGGCGGACGGGUGAGUAACACGUAGGUAACCUACCUAUAAGACUGGGAUAACUUCGGGAAACCGGAGCUAAUACCGGAUAAUAUUUCGAACCGCAUGGUUCGAUAGUGAAAGAUGGCUUUGCUAUCACUUAUAGAUGGACCUGCGCCGUAUUAGCUAGUUGGUAAGGUAACAGCUUACCAAGGCAACGAUACGUAGCCGACCUGAGAGGGUGAUCGGCCACACUGGAACUGAGACACGGUCCAGACUCCUACGGGAGGCAGCAGUAGGGAAUCUUCCGCAAUGGGCGAAAGCCUGACGGAGCAACGCCGCGUGAGUGAUGAAGGUCUUCGGAUCGUAAAACUCUGUUAUUAGGGAAGAACAAACGUGUAAGUAACUGUGCACGUCUUGACGGUACCUAAUCAGAAAGCCACGGCUAACUACGUG
rnacentral:rRNA from 1 species